UAUUUGUCGAAGAAGAGAAUAGUAAUUUCAUCAAGAGUUUAAAGAGAGUCAGUGUUUGCUGGAAACUGAUACCUUGUUGAUUUGAAUCCGCCUCAGAGACUUAUUACGAUGAGUAAUACGGGUAAAGACCGUUAAGAUGAAAGAGUGGGUUAAAUUUAUUUUAACCAAUAAGGGUGGCAACGCGAGACAUUCGUCCCUAGU
rnacentral:ncRNA from 1 species